GCGCUCUGAGAGCCUGAGCCGCUUGAGGAGGCCAAGCGCCCACGAACCGCAUUCCCUGCCUUGCUAGUUAGUUCUCCAACACGCGAAAAAGGUAGACGAGGACUGGUUUUCUUUGCAGCUAAAAUGAAUCAAGCCUCUGGGAUUAGUUGUCACUGUGUUGCCCAGGCUGGUCUUAAACUCCUAGGCUCGAAGGAGCCUUCUACCUCAGCCUCCCAAGUAGCUGAGAC
rnacentral:lncRNA from 10 species